rnacentral:rRNA from 1 species
GACGAACGCUGGCGGCGUGCUUAACACAUGCAAGUCGAACGGAAAGGCCCUGCUUUUGUGGGGUGCUCGAGUGGCGAACGGGUGAGUAACACGUGAGUAACCUGCCCUUGACUUUGGUAUAACUUCAGGAAACUGGGGCUAAUACCGGAUAGGAGCUCCUGCUGCAUGGUGGGGGUUGGAAAUUUUCGGCGGUUGGGGAUGGACUCGCGGCUUAUCAGCUUGUUGGUGGGGUAGUGGCUUACCAAGGCUUUGACGGGUAGCCGGCCUGAGAGGGUGACCGGCCACAAUGGGACUGAGAGACGGACCAGACUCCUACGGGAGGCAGCAGGGGGGAAUAUGGCACAAUGGGCGGAAGCCUGAUGCAGCAACGCCGCGUGCGGGAUGACGGCCUUCGGGUUGUAAACCGCUUUCGCCUGUGACGAAGCGUGAGUGACGGUAAUGAGUAAAGAAGCACCGGCUAACUACGUG